CGACCGGCGCACGGGUGCGUAACGCGUAUGCAACCUACCUUUAACAGGGGGAUAACACUGAGAAAUUGGUACUAAUACCCCAUAAUAUCAUAGAAGGCAUCUUUUAUGGUUGAAAAUUCCGAUGGUUAGAGAUGGGCAUGCGUUGUAUUAGCUAGUUAGUGGGGUAACGGCUCACCAAGGCGACGAUACAUAGGGGGACUGAGAGGUUAACCCCCCACACUGGUACUGAGACACGGACCAG
rnacentral:rRNA from 1 species